rnacentral:rRNA from 4 species
AUAUAAGCGAAUAAGGGCUUAAGUUGGAUACCUUGGCAUUCAGAAGCGAUGAAGGGCGUGUCUACCGACGAAACGCUUCGGGGAGCUGGAAGUAAGCUUUGAUCCGGAGGUUCCCGAAUGAGGAAACUCUUUAAACUGCAUAUUUAAUACAUAGGUAUGUAAGAGCGAA